AUUGAACGCUGGCGGCAGGCUUAACACAUGCAAGUCGAGCGGGGGAAGGUAGCUUGCUACCGGACCUAGCGGCGGACGGGUGAGUAAUGCUUAGGAAUCUGCCUAUUAGUGGGGGACAACAUCUCGAAAGGGAUGCUAAUACCGCAUACGUCCUACGGGAGAAAGCAGGGGAUCUUCGGACCUUGCGCUAAUAGAUGAGCCUAAGUCGGAUUAGCUAGUUGGUGGGGUAAAGGCCUACCAAGGCGAUGAUCUGUAGCGGGUCUGAGAGGAUGAUCCGCCACACUGGGACUGAGAAACGGCCCAGACUCCUACGGGAGGCAGCAGUGGGGAAUAUUGGACAAUGGGAGGAACCCUGAUCCAGCCAUGCCGCGUGUGUGAAGAAGGCCUUAUGGUUGUAAAGCACUUUAAGCGAGGAGGAGGCUACUUUAGUUAAUACCUAGAGAUAGUGGACGUUACUCGCAGAAUAAGCACCGGCUAACUCUGUGCCAGCCGCCGCGGUAAGAC
rnacentral:rRNA from 1 species